rnacentral:rRNA from 1 species
UACGGGGGGGGCAAGCGUUGUUCGGAAUUACUGGGCGUAAAGGGCUCGUAGGCGGCCAACUAAGUCGGACGUGAAAUCCCUCGGCUUAACCGGGGAACUGCGUCCGAUACUGGAUGGCUUGAGUUCGGGAGAGGGAUGCGGAAUUCCAGGUGUAGCGGUGAAAUGCGUAGAUAUCUGGAGGAACACCGGUGGCGAAGGCGGCAUCCUGGACCGACACUGACGCUGAGGAGCGAAAGCCAGGGGAGCAAAGCGGG